GACGAACCGUGGCGAACGUUGUUCGGAAUCACUGGGCUUAAAGGGUGUGUAGGCGGUCUGUCAAGUCAGGGGUGAAAUCCUUCGGCUUAACCGGAGAACAGCCCCUGAUACUGAUGGGCUCGAGGGAGAUAGAGGCAGCCGGAACUACCGGUGGAGCGGUGAAAUGCGUUGAUAUCGGUAGGAACGCCAGAGGCGCAAGCGGGCUGCUGGAUCUCUUCUGACGCUGAGACACGAAAGCUAGGGGGAGCAAAACGGG
rnacentral:rRNA from 1 species